rnacentral:rRNA from 1 species
UACAGAGGUCUCAAGCGUUGUUCGGAUUCAUUGGGCGUAAAGGGUGUGUAGGUGGCGCCGUAAGUCGGGCGUGAAAUUUCGGAGCUUAACUCCGAAACUGCAUUCGAUACUGCGGUGCUUGAGGACUGGAGAGGAGACUGGAAUUCAUGGUGUAGCAGUGAAAUGCGUAGAGAUCAUGAGGAAGACCAGUGGCGAAGGCGGGUCUCUGGACAGUUCCUGACACUGAGGCACGAAGGCCAGGGGAGCAAACGGG